rnacentral:rRNA from 1 species
AGCAGCCGCGGUAAUUCCAGCUCCAAUAGCGUAUAUUAAAGUUGUUGCAGUUAAAAAGCUCGUAGUUGAACUUCGGAAUUUGCCCAUUGGUCAGGCUUAACUGUCUGCACUGGUGUGACGAGUUCCUACCUUCUGAGGAAUCUCCAUGUCAUUCAGUUGGUGUGGGGGGGAAUCAGGACUGUUACUUUGAAAAAAUUAGAGUGUUUAAAGCAGGCAUCCGUCUGAAUACAUUAGCAUGGAAUAAUAAAAUAGGACGGUUUGGUUCUAUUUUGUUGGUUUCUAGGAUCACCGUAAUGAUUAAUAGGGAUAGUUGGGGGCAUUAGUAUUCAAUUGUCAGAGGUGAAAUUCUUGGAUUUAUUGAAGACUAACUACUGCGAAAGCAUUUGCCAAGGAUGUUUU